AUUGAACGCUGGCGGCAGGCCUAACACAUGCAAGUCGAGCGGAUGAAGGGAGCUUGCUCCUGGAUUCAGCGGCGGACGGGUGAGUAAUGCCUAGGAAUCUGCCUGGUAGUGGGGGAUAACGUCCGGAAACGGGCGCCAAUACCGCAUACGUCCUGAGGGAGAAAGUGGGGGAUCUUCGGACCUCACGCUAUCAGAUGAGCCUAGGUCGGAUUAGCUAGUUGGUGGGGUAAAGGCCUACCAAGGCGACGAUCCGUAACUGGUCUGAGAGGAUGAUCAGUCACACUGGAACUGAGACACGAUCCAGACUCCUACGGGAGGCAGCAGUGGGGAAUAUUGGACAAUGGGCGAAAGCCUGAUCCAGCCAUGCCGCGUGUGUGAAGAAGGUCUUCGGAUUGUAAAGCACUUUAAGUUGGGAGGAAGGGCAGUAAGUUAAUACCUUGCUGUUUUGACGUUACCAACAGAAUAAGCACCGGCUAACUUCGUG
rnacentral:rRNA from 1 species